rnacentral:rRNA from 1 species
UACAGAGGUCUCGAGCGUUAGGCGGAAUCACUGGGCUUAAAGCGUGUGUAGGUGGAUGCCUAAGUACCUUGUGAAAUCCCACGGCUUAACCGUGGAACUGCUUGGUAUACUGGGUGUCUUGAGUCACUCAGGGGCGAGCGGAACAAAUGGUGGAGCGGUGAAAUGCGUAGAUAUCAUUUGGAACGCCAAUGGUGAAAACAGCUCGCUGGGGGUGCACUGACACUGUGACACGAAAGCCAGGGGAGCGAACGGG